rnacentral:lncRNA from 1 species
GUGCACCCUGGUUUUGUUCCUUCAGGUAUUUUCUGUAACCAUGAGUUCCUUCACGAAUAUGGCGAUUGGUGUCGAUCGACUUAUCGCUGUUUUGUUCCCGCUUAAAAUUCGCAUAACGUCGUCUCGAUCCAGCUGCAUGAUCGCCCUCAUCUGGUUGUUCUCGGUGGCACUAGCUUCCGCAGAGUUAUUUGUGGCCAGAGUUGCGGAAGCUUACCUCGAAGGAGACAUCGUUCUGGUAUGCGGCGAGAUCUGGGAAAAAGCGUCACAUGGUUCGAUUUACUGGUGGAUGAACAUCGUUUUUGUUUGUUUCAUUCCUUUUAUUGUUUUAAUGGUGACUUACUCAAUACUUGCUAAUGUCUUGUGGAAGAGGAGAGCACCAGGAAAUGCAGACACGAGCAGAGACCAGCUGGCCUUAAGAGCCAAAAGAAAGGUGAGAAUACCAUUACUUCAAUGUUAUAUAUCUUAUGUUUGUUAAUAUUAUUUUGUCUGUUUUACGGCUGUCGCUCUGAAAAUUGUACAUGUUUUAUGGCAAUCGGUUAAUUUACUAUAUUCAUUUUGUUAUUGGGAUUAAUAUAAGUAUUUUCUUAGAAUCACCUUCCUUUCUUCUAUAGGCACAAGGCCUCGAAUUUGUGGGGAGGGGAUAAUCAACCCCAGUACUUAACUGGUACUUAAUUUAUUGACCCCGAAAUGAUGAAAGACAAAGUCAAACUAAGCGGAAUUUGAACUCACAACGUAGCGGCAGACGAAAUACCGCUAAGUAUUUCGCCCGACUGCCAGCUCACCGCCUUCUUACAAUCACUUCAUCGACUGUACCUAUCACGAAUAUGCGCAAUCUUGAGUGGGAACCUGGUUCGAGAAUUUCAGGGUCUUGGAGAGUGUGGUAGAAUUUUUGAGUCACCAUUGUUCCGAGGUCUACUGUGUCCCGGUGUAAUAUCACUCUUCAGGGUCCCAUUUAUGGUUUGAAUCGCAUGUAUCCACCCAAGACAGGGAAUGCUGAAAUAAUGGGAUGCAGCAUGGUGAAUGGGAACAAUUUUGUCAGAUGAACUUAUUGAGUCAAUGGUUAAUUAAUGGUUAAAUAUUGACUGGGUGAACAGACAUUAAACUGAUAAUGGCACGGAUCAUCUAGUCGAGUUAGAGAACUACUGUUAUCAUCAAGAUAGCGUUCGAAGAUGAGACAUUUUAGUAAGAGAAACAUCAAUGUGACUAAAACCCAAACCAGACAUCCAUGGUGGAAGCACAUGACCUAGUAGUUAGAGCAGCGGACUCACGGUCGAGGGAUCGUGGGUUCGAAUCUCAGACCGGGCGAUGUGUGUGUUUAUGAGCGAAACACCUAAGCUCCACGCGGCUCCCGCAGAAGGCAAUGGCAAACUUCUGCUGACUCUUUCGCCACAACUUUCUCUCACUCUUUCCUCCUGCAUCUUGCAACUCCCCUGCGAGGGACCGGCGUCCCGUCCAGGUGGGAAACCUAUACGCCAAGGAAACCGGGAAACCGGCCCUUAUGAGUCAGGCGUGGUUCGAGAAGGAACAAACAACAUCAGACAUCCAUGUCUCGUCGCUCGAUUCGGGUCGCUUGGCGUGGAUGAGUUAAAAGUGAUCCAGGCAAGUCAUCCGACCAAUUUGAUUGCAUCAUACUUAAAUGUGACUGAUUGUUCGAGAUAACACCAUCUAUAAACGUAUUGUGUUUAAAAGUGUAAAAGGCGAAGGAGUGGCUGUGUGGUAAGUAGCUUGCUAACCAACCACAUGGUUCCGGGUUCAGUCCCACUGCGUGGCAUCUUGGGCAAGUGUCUUCUGCUAGAGCCCCGGGCCGACCAAUGCCUUGUGAGUGGAUUUGGUAGAUGGAAACUGAAAGAAGCCUGUCGUAUAUAUGUAUAUAUAUGUAUGUGUGUUUGUGUUUGUCCCCCUAGCAUUGCUUGACAACCGAUGCUGGUGUGUUUACGUCUCCGUCACUUAGCGGUUCGGCAAAAAGAGAGACCGAUAGAAUAAGUACUUGUCUUACAAAGAAUAAGUCUCGGGGUCGAUUUGCUCGACUAAAGGCGGUGCUCCAGCAUGGCCGCAGCCAAAUGACUGAAACAACUAAAAGAGUAUAUACUAGAAAUUCUUUCCUGACAGCGGCUAGCUGGGGCGUCAGAUACAUUUCAGCCUUUUUAGGCCUUGUCAGCGAUGUUUACUCGCAGCAACCCCAAUGCUUAAACGAGAUUUGUCCCCUCCAAUAUAUCGAUAUAUAGGGAACAGUGAAUAAUACAUCUAUCCAUAUCACCAGUAGCUACUGGGCUGAAUGAAUAAAAUCACUUAUAUGAGCUAAAGGUAUGUUUCUGCCAGUGCUUACAUUUGACGUCGAAUCUACUAACGGUUUUUAAAAAAAUACUUAAUAGCGUUCUGUUUAUCAUUUAUGCAGUCAUCAAAAUUAUUAUAAUGUCUUGUUGUUGAGAUAGGUUCUCUUUCAUUCGCGAUGAGAAGAUUGCAUUUUACACCGUUUAUUCCUUUGGAAUAAAACCAAUGUUGUCUUCGAAACAUAUGUCGGAAGUAAAAGAAUUUAAAUAACAUCUGCGUUCAACUCCAUUUAUUUACUUAUACAUAUAUGUAUAUAUGAGAACUUACUGUGGAUAAGGCUGUGUAGUGUUCGAUUAUAAAUAAAUAAAAAAUAUACAAUCAAUAAGUUUAAAGCUCGAAAUAGGGGUAAUAAAUAGUCGACAACUGAGGAGGAGUUAGACUUCUUUUCAUGUUUUGUCCUGUACUUUUCUCUCGUUAUAUGUUUACGUAUUUUUCGCUAGUGGUGUCCUGAGCUUAAUGUGUAUUUAUAUAUACAUUUCUUCUAUUUUCAGGUUGUAAAAAUGCUACUGACCAUUGUAGUCAUGUUCGGUGUAUGUUGGAUGCCUUUCAGUAUAUUAAUCUUGUUCCUCGAGUACCAUUAUGAACUAGCUUUGAAGCCCGGUUCCAAAUUAAUAUCUAUAUAUAUUUCCCUACACUGGUUAGCCAUGGCCCACU